GAUUCCUUGUGAAGAUAGUCUGUUUCCUGUUGUUGUGGGCAAUUAGCUUAUUGACGAUGAAGAUGUAGUGCUGGGUUGUAUCAUAGCAUCUCUUGUUAUCACUGAGUAUGUUACAUCAUAUUGUGCGGAUAAUGGAAGUAUAGAGUAUUAGAGCCGUAGGGACCAAUCUUGAAAUUCUCUGGUAGUCUUUUGUCUGUCAUGUUGGAAGUGUUAAUAACUAGCAUGAACCCUUACAUAUAAUUUGGUUCAAAGAAACACCACAAAAGGAAGACAGAAUUCAUGGAUAUUUUCUCCAUUUGAUCGUGAAUGCUUUCGGGUCAUUUUUACCUUUAAAAUGAUCUGAAUUACAUGUCCCAUGAAAUACAACAUGUUCAUUCGAAAUAUGAAAUAAUUCCUCAGUUCUUGUUUGCAUAUAACAUUUGUAAAGUUUACACCGCCAUUGAAAGUAGUUUGAGUUGUCAUGGCCAUCUGUGUUGCCACCUUCAAGAGCCAAACCAACCUCACAUUUCGUUAGUUUAUCUCCAUUUUGCACGAAGUCAUGCGUAUCACAUUAUACAGCCCACCGAAGGAGCUAUAUAAAUCGCGGUGCAAAAUAAGGUGUCACGCAAACAUGUUUGUAUAUCUGGAUGCACACAAUUAAGAUAAAUGGACUUUGGCAUUCAACAUGAUUUAUCAGUAGAGAAAUUACACUACUGCAUUUAGAUUUGCAUAAUCAGAAGUGGUGAAAGAAAAUAACAGAAGCACUUUAGGUAUUAAUCUAGCUUUAACAUAAGUUGCAAGCUACCAACUUUGAUUGACAGAACGAAAUUCCAUUGUAGUGUAAGGCAAUGUUCAGCUUAGAUAAUCAUAAAUUGACUGGAGGACUGCAAUUGAACAUGGAGAUUUUUAGUGGAAAUUCGAGGAAAACUGAUCUCUCAAAUGAGAUAUUGUCUGUUAACACGUAAGGCAGUGAACCAAAACAUAUUAUUGCAUCAUAUUGAAAUUUUCAGGUGACCGUUCAGACAAAGGGAAGAAAUACAUACUACAGAGUGUUGUCUGCAGCUGAGACAGAAUUCAGUAUAGUGUCUAGGCUGUGUAGUCUAUUCCUUUUUGGUUUACUUGGAAAACUAAAGGUGUAGAAUAGCAUCUGCAGUUCAGCAUGGCAACUCUUUUUGGUCACUUACUCCCGGUAAGGAACGAAAGGCAUAAUAGGCCUUUUCAUCCCUCAACCAUCAGCUGAGGCUCAAUUUAGUCCCCAAACUAUCAAAGUGGUCGUUUUAGUCCUCAAACUUUUAUUUUAGGGUCAGUCUCGUCCCCCAUCCUACAUGGCAUGCCACGCUGUUCGACCAUGUCAGCUGCAGCAUGCCUCGCUGUCUCUCCCCCUCCCUCAUGGACUGGCGACCAUUCAAAGCAGCAGUAUGAGCUACUACAGAAACUAAGUGACACCGAUGGCCAAUGCAACCACCUGACCAGGACUACUAGACAGGAUACUAUUAAAGCAGCAGCAGCAGCAUCAAAUCACCUCGCCGCGGGAGAACAAUAUCAAAAUAGUCUUGGACUGAAGCACACCCUUGACACCAAUACUCCAGCCACAAAACAGGAAGAUCACGCCUUCUCUAUCAAACUUCUCCCUGCUCCGUCUUCAAAUUCCAAGCACGAGCAAUGAAACCUGCUCCUCGCUGCCUCUUCUAAAUCAAAGCAAUAAUUGUUUUUCUUCUACAAAUCAUUAGCGCCAAGCACCAGAGCAGGCCCAGCAUGCCAUGCUUCUCGCUGCCGCGUGGAGCUGCGGUGGCUGAGAAUUGGCAUAUAGAUGCACGAAACUCCCUCACCCUCCCCAAAUCCAACACCUGCCACCAGUCGGCGACAGUUGUGGUGUUGGAGCUGACGUGGCGCGACAGCGUGGCGUGCCACGUAGGACAAGGGACAAGAUUGAACCCAAACGAAAAGUUUGAGGACUGAAACGACCACUUUAGUAGUUCAGAGACGAAAUUGAGCUUUGGCCCAUAGUUGAGGGAUGAAGGUGGCUAUUUUGCCGAACAGAAAAGAAAAAAUGAGCUGACGUCAGCAGAUGCAAAACAUCAAGGGGUCUAAGAAAAUGAGAUGAGACUGUGCAAUCAAUCGUAAGUAGUUUCGCAAUACAAGUUUAAGGCCCUACUUUACUUUUAAACCAGACGUUGCGUGAGGAACCAACUGUGAAGUUGCAUUCUUCACUCGUACAUUCAGAUGAAUUCAGUGUUUCAAAAAGCAGUGGUAGGCAGGUUGGAAGAAUGAAAUUUAUAGGCAAAUUAUAUGCCUACAAAGAUGUACAUGAAUACCUGCCAGCUGCAGCGAGUAGAAAUACCUAAUUUGACUAGGAAGAUGUGCAUGUAUAUCUGCAGGCUAGCAACGCCCUUCAGCUGUGCCAAACAUCAUGAGUAACAUCUGGAGAAAACAAACAAUGUAAAUGUAGUGGAUUUACUCUCUAUUGCCUUUGUGGAGACUAUGGUAAGUUUAGCUGUCAAUCACUUUGCUAAUGUUAUUAAUUUCAAUCAGUCCAUGGGGUAAGUACCUGUACCUGACGAAUUUGUUCACAUCAGAACGUGCUGCAUUUGCCUGUGUUUUUAACACCCAGAGUACGAUUAUCUGUUUUGCCUGUGUUUCUUCUCCACCCACGGCUGACAGCUCGCUGUUCCUUGCCGUGCAUCUCAUCGUGUCGUUGAGUUAGCACGUGGCCUGUUUGUUCGUGGUCGGGCGUCGCAGGGCGGGCGCGCUUCGUUCGCAAACUGGACUGGCCAUGACCUCCCGUCCGAUGGCUCCGCCGUCGACUAGGACACGGUGCUUGUGUGAUUUCACAACACGCCGGACCUGGCGAUGACAGAAUACAACGCGCUACUUGUGCAGUUGUGCGGUUAAGAGGUCACGGCUCGUGACGCGCGACCCGUGGAUGCGCCUGUGGCAGCCGCAACGUAACGGCUGUCGGUGAGCCCCGGGCCGCGUCGCGCCGCGGCGGCAACACACGCUAUUGCGCUUACCAUGUCCUGACACCCCCCACAGGUGCACUCUGCUUGCAACUUGCAAGACGAAACGAAGGCGCUUCCCGCGUGCGGGCGGCGGACAACUCGCCGGGAGCCCGGGACGGUCGAUAAAUCGAACACCGACCACCCCGGCCGGUCACCUAUCCCCCGCUUGCGGUAGGUAGCGACAGGGGGCGGAGCUUGACCAGAAUAAACGAAAGGGAGGUGCGGCACCUUCACAGCAUUCGUAGACAUUCAAUUUAUUUAACAUGAUGAGAAUUUAGACGUGACAAGGAACUAUGAAUUUUUACCAGUUGCGGAGACCCCUUGGUCGUGGUCGGUAACUCUUCAGUAAUUCUCGGCGAUGGCGCAUCGACGCG
rnacentral:lncRNA from 1 species